AACACCCUGGGCAACACCCCUGUAGGGGGGGCGAAUGAGCCUGGUGGGUUACCCCGGCCAUA
rfam:Pyrobaculum oguniense TE7, complete genome.